rnacentral:RNase_P_RNA from 1 species
AGGUGUAGGAGGAUCGCUGACAGGGUUCGACCCUGAGGAAAGUCCCCUCUCCGCAGUGUAGAUGGCGAAAUAAUUCGUAGUUAGAGAUGACUAGGGCUAUGCAGAAGAAACGAACGAGGCUAGGUGUGUACAAUGAAUCCACAAGGACGAGAUUGCCUAACCCUUGAUGAGACGAGCACCCCCAUCGGAGCAAGUCCAAACAGUCCCGCUAUGGCGACACGCAUAGGGACGGGUAGGAUGCAAAGUUGAAUGCGGUCAGCCGGAAACGGUGAACAGAAAGGGGCUUAUUCCCUACUCCU